AAUUCUCAAAACCUUUUUCUUAGGGUUUUGGACUUGGAGGUUCAAUGCUCGCUUUCGGGACCCGAAAGCGAGCUCCUCUCAAAUAAAUUAGUGGGGUCUGCUUUGCUGGUCCUUGACGUGAUAAGAUGUUUCGACGUUUUGGACUUGGCACUGUCUCUUGGAUGCCUGCUUCUAACAGUCCGUCUCGUGGACAACGAUGGUGCUCUGGUCUCUCCUCCAUCCACAAUGGUGGGAGGCUGGACCCACAAAUAAAAA
rnacentral:misc_RNA from 1 species